UUAUUUGAGAGUUUGAUCCUGGCUCAGGAUGAACGCUGGCGGCGUGCCUAACACAUGCAAGUUGAGCGAUUUACUUCGGUAAAGAGCGGCGGACGGGUGAGUAACGCGUGGGUAACCUACCCUGUACACACGGAUAACAUACCGAAAGGUAUGCUAAUACGGGAUAACAUAUUUGAGAGGCAUCUCUUGAAUAUCAAAGGUGAGCCAGUACAGGAUGGACCCGCGUCUGAUUAGCUAGUUGGUAAGGUAACGGCUUACCAAGGCGACGAUCAGUAGCCGACCUGAGAGGGUGAUCGGCCACAUUGGAACUGAGACACGGUCCAAACUCCUACGGGAGGCAGCAGUGGGGAAUAUUGCACAAUGGGCGAAAGCCUGAUGCAGCAACGCCGCGUGAGUGAUGAAGGCUUUCGGGUCGUAAAACUCUGUCCUCAAGGAAGAUAAUGACGGUACUUGAGGAGGAAGCCCCGGCUAACUACGUGCCAGCAGCCGCGGU
rnacentral:rRNA from 1 species